GACAGAGGGUGCAAACGUUGUUCGGAAUUACUGGGCGUAAAGCGCGUGUAGGCGGCUUGGCAAGUCGGGUGUGAAAGCCCUGGGCUCAACCUAGGAAGUGCACUCGAAACUGCCUCGCUGGAAUGCCGGAGAGGAAAGCGGAAUUCUCGGUGUAGAGGUGGAAAUUCGUAGAUAUCGAGAGGAACACCGGUGGCGAAGGCGGCUUUCUGGGACGGUUAUUGACGCUGGAGACGCGAAAGCCGUGGGGAGCAAACAGGG
rnacentral:rRNA from 1 species